rnacentral:rRNA from 1 species
UACGGGGGGGGCAAGCGUUGUUCGGAAUUACUGGGCGUAAAGGGCUCGUAGGUGGCCAACUAAGUCAGACGUGAAAUCCCUCGGCUUAACCGGGGGAACUGCGUCUGAUACUGGAUGGCUUGAGUGUGGGAGAGGGAUGCGGAAUUCCAGGUGUAGCGGUGAAAUGCGUAGAUAUCGUAAGGAAGACCAGUGGCGAAGGCGGGUCUCUGGACAGUUCCUGACGCUGAGGCACGAAGGUCAGGGGGAGCAAACGGG